rnacentral:rRNA from 1 species
UACGUAGGGUGCAAGCGUUGUCCGGAAUUAUUGGGCGUAAAGAGCUCGUAGGCGGCUUGUCACGUCGACUGUGAAAACCCGGGGCUCAACUCCGGGCCUGCAGUCGAUACGGGCUGGCUUGAGUGCGGUAGGGGAGACUGGAAUUCCUGGUGUAGCGGUGAAAUGCGCAGAUAUCAGGAGGAACACCGGUGGCGAAGGCGGAUCUCUGGGCCUUACCUGACGCUGAGGAGCGAAAGCAUGGGGAGCAAACAGG